UACGUAGGAGGCAAGCGUUGUCCGGAAUCACUGGGCGUAAAGCGCGUGUAGGCGGUGGGGGAAGUCUGCUGUGAAAGCGCCUGGCUCAACCGGGCGAGGUCGGUGGAAACUCUCCCACUGGAGGACGGUAGAGGGGGGUGGAAUUCCCGGUGUAGUGGUGAAAUGCGUAGAGAUCGGGAGGAACACCUGUGGCGAAGGCGGCCCCCUGGGCCGGACCUGACGCUGAGACGCGAAGGCGUGGGGAGCGAAC
rnacentral:rRNA from 1 species